rnacentral:misc_RNA from 1 species
GUGAGUCAUCGAAUCUUUGAACGCACAUUGCGCCCGCCAGCAUUCUGGCGGGCAUGCCUGUUCGAGCGUCAUUUCAACCCUCAGGCCCUGCCUGGUGUUGGAGGACUGCACAUGCAGCCUCCCAAAGCAAGCGGCGGCGGCGCCCCAAAACCGAACGCAGUAGUUACUUCUCGUUCUGGGUCUGGGUCGUUGUCUUGCCGGAAAACCCCCAUCUUUUUAAUGGUUGACCUCGAAUCAGGUAGGAAUACCCGCUGAACUUAAGCAUAUCAAUAAGCGGAGGA